rnacentral:lncRNA from 1 species
GACACCCCGCCCCCGUGCAAUUUCUUGUCUUUGAUAUUCUCUAUUCUCUUUAGCUUUUUGACACAGGGUUUCACUAUGUAGCUAUGGUUGUCCUGGAACUCACUAUGUUGACCAGGCUGGCCUGAAACCCUCAGAGAUCCACCUGCCUCUUCCUCCCCAGUGCUGAGAAUAACAGUGUGUGCCAUCACACCCAGCAAGAGCCUUUCAUUUGAACAAUGGCUCAUUUGUAAUGUGGUAUUGAUGUAUCAAAUUUCCCCAAAAGAUCAAUAAUCAACUGUUUUACACCCAACGGGAGGAGAAACCUAGGAGAAAAUAUUCAGAAAAAUGUGAAUAAUUGGGCUUCCAAACAAAAGGUGGGCUUGGGUUGUAGCUCUGUGGUAGAUCUCUUCUCCUGAAUUCCGUUCUGGGUACCACAAAAACAGGCAUGAAACAAAAUAAACACUGUAAAAUGUUUGCAGGGAGAGAGGUUCUUUGAAGAGAGUGAAAGACAAGCUGCGGACUGGGAGACAAUGUGGGCCAGUGAGGCAGCUCAGUGGAUGAGAGUGCUUGCCUAACUGCCCAGCUGGAUUGCCAGCCCGACAAGGUCAACUCCAGGUCAACUAGAUCCUGGUCUUCUGUUUCGCUCUGCGAAGGCUGCAGCAAUGGAGCUGUGCUGUCUGUAAGUAACUACCACCACAUGCCAGGAGCUCAGACAAUAGACACUGCUCACAUUUCUGAAGGCUUCGAUCAAGGCCUUGGUAGAUUUGAUGUGUAUUUUGUGUUUGUUUGUUUAAGACAGGGUCUCACCAAGUAGCCCCGGCUGCCUGAAACUCACUUUGCAGACCAGACUGGCCUUGAACUCAUGGAGUUCUGCUUGCCUCUAUCUCCCAAGCACUGGGACUGAAGGUGUGUGUCACCAGGCCCUGCUAAAUGUGGCAUCUUUGUGAGGGAUCAUAGACAGUGCUUUUCCCUGUUCCUUCACAGGGUGGAAGGGGCCAGGAAUCUGACAUGGAAUGAUUUAGGAUGGCUUUACUCCCUAACCACCCUCACCUCACUAACACCUCUGCCUUAGGGGUUAGGAUUUGAACACAGAAGGUUUGGGAGGAUACAACCUAACAACCUUUAGAAGUACUCUGAUUCCGGUCACUCAAGUGUUUGUGUGUGAUAAUGGGUACAUUAGUUCCUGUUGAAAUAAAUGAUUUGGGGCUAGAGGAACA